CCGAGGGUUGGGAAACGCCGGGGAUGGCUCAACCCCCGCGGGCCAUCCCGGGACGGGAUAAAAAGCUCCCGGCUCCCAAUUCCUCCCAUCCCAGCUCCGGAUUCCUGAGAUUUCAGCUCCUCGGGCUUCUCCUCUUGGGGAUCUGACAGUUCCAGCUCUCUCCUGCCAGGAUGUCCUUCUCCAGCCAGCUCAGCUCCCGCUGCUCCGCGCCCUGCGCCGUGUCCUGCCCCCAGCCCUGCGCCGACACCUGGAACCAGCCCUGUGUCACCUCCUGCGGGGACUCCCGGGCUGUCAUCCACCCUCCACCCGUGGUCAUCACCUUCCCGGGGCCCAUCCUCAGCUCCUGCCCCCAGGAGAGCAUCGUGGGCUCCGCAUUCCCCGCGGGAAUGGAGCGCCCCGCGGGCCUGCAGGGCUCCCUGCUCUACGGAGGCUUCCUCUCCUCCUCCAGGAGCGCCUGGAGCCAGCGCUCCGGGGGCUGCGGGCCCUGCUGAACCGGGAAAGGGGUGGGGAAACCUGGGGGAGCUGCAGCAGGAGCUGGGGCAGGGGCUGAGAGGGGGGACACGGCUCUGUGGGGCUGGGAGAGGGUCAGAAUCCAUGGGAAAUGUUCAGGAUCCUUGGGAACUGCUCAGAAUCCAUGGAAAAUGUUCAGAACCUGUGGGAACUGCUCAGAAUCCAUGGAAAAUGUUCAGAACCUGUGGGAACUGCUCAGAAUCAAUGGGAAAUUAUCAGAAUCCAUGGGAAUUGUUCAGGAUACAUGGGAAAUAUUCAGGAUCCAUGGGAAAUGUUCAGAACCUGUGGGAACUGCUCAGAAUCAAUGGAAAAUGUUCAGGAUCCAUGGGAAUUGUUCAGGAUCCAUGGGAAUUGUUCAGGAUCCAUGGGAAAUGUUCAGAACCUGUGGGAAUUGUUCAGAAUCCAUGGGAAACCCUCAGCAUCCAUGCAAACCCCUCAGCACCCCCGGGAGCUGCUCCUCCUCUCCCCCUUCUUGUUUUUAAUGUCACUUUUCUCCGAAUUUGCCUCUUCCCUCCUCAAACCCUGAAUUGUUUGCCCACUUUUAUCCCAAUAAACUUCUGUGUUUGCAUUCAAA